rnacentral:tRNA from 1 species
AAAGUUUUAAGUUAUAUUAAACUAAAGACCUUCAAAGUCUUCAAAAAAAGUUAAACCCUUUUAAACUUUA